UACAGAGGGUGCGAGCGUUAAUCGGAAUUACUGGGCGUAAAGCGCACGUAGGCGGCUAUUCAAGUCGGGGGUGAAAGCCCGGGGCUCAACCCCGGAACAGCCCUCGAAACUAGAUAGCUAGAAUCUUGGAGAGGCGAGUGGAAUUCCGAGUGUAGAGGUGAAAUUCGUAGAUAUUCGGAAGAACACCAGUGGCGAAGGCGACUCGCUGGACAAGUAUUGACGCUGAGGUGCGAAAGCGUGGGGAGCAAACAGG
rnacentral:rRNA from 1 species